AUUGAACGCUGGCGGCAUGCUUUACACAUGCAAGUCGAACGGUAACAGGCCGCAAGGUGCUGACGAGUGGCGAACGGGUGAGUAAUGCAUCGGAACGUGCCCAGUCGUGGGGGAUAACGCAGCGAAAGCUGCGCUAAUACCGCAUACGAUCUAUGGAUGAAAGCGGGGGACCGUAAGGCCUCGCGCGAUUGGAGCGGCCGAUGUCAGAUUAGGUAGUUGGUGGGGUAAAGGCUCACCAAGCCAACGAUCUGUAGCUGGUCUGAGAGGACGACCAGCCACACUGGGACUGAGACACGGCCCAGACUCCUACGGGAGGCAGCAGUGGGGAAUUUUGGACAAUGGGCGCAAGCCUGAUCCAGCAAUGCCGCGUGCAGGAAGAAGGCCUUCGGGUUGUAAACUGCUUUUGUACGGAACGAAACGGCUCUCUCUAAUACAGGGGGCUAAUGACGGUACCGUAAGAAUAAGCACCGGCUAACUACGUGCCAGCCGCCGCGGUAAAAC
rnacentral:rRNA from 1 species